rnacentral:rRNA from 1 species
AUUGAACGCUGGCGGCAGGCCUAACACAUGCAAGUCGAGCGAGCGGCGGACGGGUGAGUAAUGUAUGGGGACUGCCCGAUAGAGGGGGAUAACUACUGGAAACGGUAGCUAAUACCGCAUACUAUCGGAUAACCCAUAUGGGAUUAGCUAGUAGGUGGGGUAAUGGCUCACCUAGGCGACGAUCCCUAGCUGGUCUGAGAGGAGGAUCAGCACAGUGGGGACUGAGACACGCCCAAGACUCCUAGGGGGGAAGGAGUGGGGAAUAUUGGCAAAUGGGCGCAAGCCUGAUGCAGCCCUGCCGCGUGGAUGAAGAAGGCCCUAGGGUUGUAAAGUACUUUCAGUCGGGAGGCGUUACCGACAGAAGAAGCACCGGCUAACUCCGUGCCAGCAGCCGCGGUAAUUC